rnacentral:rRNA from 1 species
UUUUAGUGGCGAACGGGUGAGUAACGCGUGGGUAACCUGCCCUUUUAUCGGGGACAACUUGCCGAAAGGUGAGCUAAUACCGGAUGUCCUAUCUAAAACACAAGUUUAAGAUAGCAAAGGUGGCCUCUUUAAAUGCUACCGUAAAAGGAUGGACCCGCGUCUGAUUAGCUAGUUGGUGAGGUAAUGGCUCACCAAGGCGACGAUCAGUAGCCGGCCUGAGAGGGUGAACGGCCACACUGGGACUGAGACACGGCCCAGACUCCUACGGGAGGCAGCAGUGGGGAAUCUUCCGCAAUGGACGAAAGUCUGACGGAGCAACGCCGCGUGAGUGAUGAAGGUCUUCGGAUUGUAAAACUCUGUUUUUUGGGACGAACGGCUCAUAUGUAAAUAAUGUAUGAGAUUGACGGUACCAAAGGAGGAAGCCCCGGCUAACUACGUGCCAGCAGCCGCGGUAAUACGUAGGGGGCAAGCGUUGUCCGGAAUUAUUGGGCGUAAAGAGCGCGCAGGCGGGUCUGUCAGUCUACCGUGAAAGCUUACGGCUCAACCGUAACAGGUCGGUGGAUACUGCAGAUCUUGAGGGCAGGAGAGGAAAGUGGAAUUCCCAGUGUAGCGGUGAAAUGCGUAGAUAUUGGGAGGAACACCAGUGGCGAAGGCGACUUUCUGGACUGUUACUGACGCUGAGGCGCGAAAGCUGGGGGAGUGAACGGGAUUAGAUACCCCGGUAAUCCCAGCCGUAAACGAUGGGUACUAGGUGUAGGAGGUAUCGACCCCUUCUGUGCCGGAGUUAACGCAAUAAGUACCCCGCCUGGGGAGUACGGUCGCAAGACUGAAACUCAAAGGAAUUGACGGGGGCCCGCACAAGCGGUGGAGCAUGUGGUUUAAUUCGACGCAACGCGANGAACCU